GACGUAGGGCGCGAGCGUUGUCCGGAUUUAUUGGGCGUAAAGAGCUCGUAGGCGGCUUGUCGCGUCUGCCGUGAAGCGGGACUCGGACUCCAGCGCUGCAGUGGGUACGGGCAGACUAGAGUGUGGUAGGGGAGACUGGAAUUCCUGGUGUAGCGGUGAAAUGCGCAGAUAUCAGGAGGAACACCGAUGGCGAAGGCAGGUCUCUGGGCCACUACUGACGCUGAGAAGCGAAAGCAUGGGGAGCGAACAGG
rnacentral:rRNA from 1 species